UGACUAUCUCUAAUGGCAGCUACAACCCUCUUUAAAUUUAGUCUGUCAGUCUGUAGUUCAGUCUGUCAAUUACAAAAACAAACUAUUACUCGUGUCCACUUAUCAUUUUUACCAUUCACAACUGCAAUUCAAAAUCGCAUCUUGCACUUUUAUCUUAUCACCACCAGAUCACGCCAAAUCACCACCAAUCACCUGUAUGGAAACACGACUCAACCAUUUCAAUAUUUAACAGUAAAACACACUCUAAGGCUCAUUUUUUACAUUGAUCACUGCAGCUCAAACAUUUACAACACCUCAAAACACUCACAUUUGCUUUAUUUCUUCUUACAGGUGGAGACGGCCGUUUAUCAACAUCACGCUCAACUGCGUCAGGACCAUGAAAGCAGGAGGAGCUGGAUGACUGUCUGCAGAGCAAAGGAUCAUGGCUCAAUCAGCAGGCCUCAGCUCUGACCACCUCCUGUCAUGUCACCUUUGCUCAACUGUCUGGACCCUCUGGACCACCUGGACAACACAUCACGUGGAGAUGACCGUUUCUCAGCAUCGCACUCAACUGCGUCAGGACCGUGUCUGUCUGCAGAGCAGUAAGAGGAUUUCUUUUAUCUUCACAUCUUUUACUCUUACACAAACACAAAGUGCCAGAGAGAGAUUUUAUUUAUCAAAAAUAUUUUACAAAAUACAUGCAUUUUCAUCUCAAUUAAGUCU